ensembl:lncRNA
UUUACCUUUCAGAAUUUACACAAAUUUUCAGUCUGAUACCUAAAAUCAUAAUGAAUGUAGCACAUGAAAAUGUAGACACUAUUUCUAAAUAAAAUAAAAUAGACAGGUUUUAACACUAUAUUUCCACACAUUUGCAUGUAGCACACAGAACUCGCGUCGGAUGUCUAACCUCUUCAAAUCAACAGUCAGGCAAGUCGUCCAACGCCUCACAUUAUGCUGGAGAGCAGCAGCUUGUUGUGAUUUCAGGGCUCGUAAUAACGAAGGCCUCAGUUGUCUUCGAGUGGGCUUUACUUCUGUUCAUUAACACCGACGUGAACUCUGUUGUGUAAGCAAAGACAAAACGAUGCCCGACCAUCCACGACACGAUCCACUCCUACAAAGAAGAAGGUCAUCCUAGGCAGGGGGAUAAAAUAUAGAACGUGCCACGCAAAACCACAAUGUGGUAGUUUAAUUAAAAGAAUUCAUUACAGUGGGAGCCCAAGGUAAUUAGCAUGCAUAAUUUAUGAUUUGCUUAAUGCACGUCGGCCGAGGCGUCGGUAAUAAACUCGACUUAACCUCCAGCGGAGAGAGAUGAAAUGGACAGGGGACGACUGUUUAUUGUCGAGCAAUAAGUCAAAUACGUUUGAUAGAACUUUGGUUGAUUCUUGGCUUUUGCUGAACUCGAAAGACUUCAUUUGUUUUGCAGGAUGAGACUCAGUCAGCAAAGGUGGCACUGCAGAGGACAAAUAAAUCACUGGAGCAAAGUGGGAGAGAAACAGAGAGAGAGGGCUCUGUUGUUUUGUCGCCCGGGUCACCAAAGUCAAACAAAGUCACCUCUCUUGGCCCCUCCGAUGACUUCCGCAAACAAAACCAAUAGUUGCAUCAUGGGGCAAGUGGAUGUCUAGAAAUGGGAAGAAAGUGGCAGGCAAACCUGAAAGUUCACCCUGGGAAGUUUCACUCCAUCCUCUGCCCCAUUAAAACUCAUCACAACCGGGAUGGCGACCGACCGAAGAAGGGCUCUCGAGCAACACCGUGUCCCAGUGAGGGGGGCCGCUCACUCUUUUGAGCUCUUCUCUGGCGGGGCUGUAAAGCGCUGGCCUCUCAGGCCACAAAUCAGCUCCUGAAAGCAGGCAUGCAUCUUCAAAGGGUGGGCUGCCCCUCUGUGAUAUACGGCCCCCGCCGAGAACAAGUUAGCCACGGCCAGUGUCUUUGCACCUGGGCUAUUAUCAGGCGACCGGGAUCAUCUCCUCUCACCACACAUUCAAAUGUACAAGUAGCAGAUUAGGCUGACUCAAUCUUCUUUCCCUCUGAAGGAUAGGGUGAGGGAAAAGAGAGGGAAAGCCAAAAGAAAGGAACCUCCUCGGACUUCAAAAAGAGCUCUCCGCUUCUGUCCUUCUGAGAGAGUGAAAGGCCCGGGAGAUGAGAACGGAGGGGGGCUUGUGUAUUCAGAGAACUAAUUCAGAACUGAUUCCUCUAAUACACUCCUGAAACACUUUUAAUUGUGUUAGUUUGCAUUCAAAAGGCACGUUUGCAGCUUUUAAUUGGCGAGCUCUUUGAAAUAAUUGAAAUGUGUGACUUUGUGGGGGACAACUUAAACAGUUCUAAUGUGCUUUGCUGGUAGGUGCUGGAUGCCCAUUAUUCCCUCAUUCUAACGCUGUGGCGAUUUGAAGGGGUCUUGAGCUGUUCUCUAAAUAAAACGGCUAUCGAGGUUUGGCACACAUUGUACCUAGUAAUUGCCGUUAGCAAUUAGCUUUAAACAAAGCUCCCAUUGUGGCAAAGUGUUAAUGACCUUUGAACAAAACUAUAACUGUAAAUUAAACUAUGUUGAUGUUUUUUCUUAAAGGGGAAGCAUGUCAUUUAUUUUUAUUUUUUAAAAAUAGUAACUUCUAUCCCAGCUUAAUGAAAAAACAACUAAAAGUAAAACAUGUAUAGUUUAAUGCUCCCAAAAAGUUAAAUAAUCUGACAAAAUCAGCACUGGCACAACCAAUGGUGUGAGUUUGGGGGCGGGACUAUCUGUAUUUCUGAAUAACGAAAGACAGAUGAAAACCUAUUUGAAAACAGUCACGUUUGGUGAUGCUAAUUAUGUACUGUACCUUUAAACAGAGCUCUGAUUGUAUUAAAAAAAAAAGACCAAAUAUAUAACAAUAAAAAACAGUGUUGACAUUUUUUUAAAGGGAAAGGUGUCAUUUUUUAUGUUAAUAAUAUCAAAUUAUAACUAAAUUAAAACAUUUCUAGGUUUAUUUUCCCCAAAACUUUAAAUAACCUGACACAAUAUCAUAAUAUUGUACAGACUAAGCAACGUUAGCCAGUGGAAUGAGUUUGGG